rnacentral:rRNA from 1 species
GAACUGAAGAGUUUGAUCAUGGCUCAGAUUGAACGCUGGCAGCAGGGGCCUUCAACACAUGCAAGUCGAGCUUAUGAAGGGAGCUUGCCUUGGAUUCAGCGGCGGACGGGUGAGUAAUGCCUAGGAAUCUGCCUGGUAGUAGGGGGAUAACGUCCGGAAACGGCCGCUAAUACCGCAUAGGGGUAACCGCAUACGGGUAGUCAGAGUGUCCUGAGGGGAAUCUGCCUAUCGGCACAUGCAAGGAAUUAAAGUUCGAGCCGGCGGACGGGUGAGUAAUGCCUCAGAUUGAACGCUGGCGGCAGGCCUAACAGCCUGGAUUAUGGCUGGGGAGAAAGUGGGGGAUCUUCGGACCUCACGCUAUCAGAUGAGCCUAGAGGCCUACCAAGGCGACGAACGGUCCAGACUCCUACGGGAGGCAGCAGUUCCGUAACUGGUCUGAGAGGAUGAUCAGUCACACUGGAACUGAGACGGGGAAUAUUGGACGGUGCAAGCGUUCAGCCGCGGUAAUACGAAGAAAUGGGAAGCACUUUACGAAAGCCUGAUCCAGCCAUUAAUACCUUGCUGUUUUGACUGCCGCGUGUGUGAAGAAGGAACUUCGUGCCACUAGAGUACGGUAGAGGUCUUCGGAUUGUAAGUUGGCCGUCCUGAGGGAGAAAGUCGGGGAUCUUCGGACCUCACGCUAUCAGAUGAGCCUAGGUCGGAUUAGCUAGUUGGUGGGGUAAAGGCCUACCAAGGCGACGAUCCGUAACUGGUCUGAGAGGAUGAUCAGUCACACUGGAACUGAGACACGGUCCAGACUCCUACGGGAGGCAGCAGUGGGGAAUAUUGGACAAUGGGCGCAAGCCUGAUCCAGCCAUGCCGCGUGUGUGAAGAAGGUCUUCGGAUUGUAAAGCACUUUAAGUUGGGAGGAAGGGCAGUAAGUUAAUACCUUGCUGUUUGACGUUACCAACAGAAUAAGCACCGGCUAACUUCGUGCCAGCAGCCGCGGUAAUACGAAGGGUGCAAGCGUUAAUCGGAAUUACUGGGCGUAAAGCGCGCGUAAGUGGUUCAGCAAGCUUGAUGUGAAAUCCCCGGGCUCAACCUGGGAACUGCAUCCAAAAGCCUAGGUCGGAUUAGCUAGUUGGUGGGGUAAAGGCCUACCAAGGCGACGAACAAUGGGCGCAAGCCUGAUCCAGCCAUGCCGCGUGUGUGAAGAAGGUCUUCGGAUUGUAAAGCACUUUAAGUUGGGAGGAAGGGCAGUAAGUUAAUACCUUGCUGUUUGACGGUCUGAGAACUGAAGAGGAAUAUUGGAUAUGAAGGGAGCGGAUAACGUCCGGACGCUAGAUAACGUCGAUAGCUUGCUCGGAAACGGGCGCUGAAGGGAAUAGUCGGAUUAGCUAGUUGGUUUGAUCAGAGGAAGGGCAGUAAGCUGGGCGUAAAGCGCGUUACCAACAGAAUAAGCACCGGCUGCGUAGGUGGUUCAGCGGAACACCAGUGGCGCACCUGGAUGAUGGAUGUGAAAUCCCCGGGCUCAACCUGGGAACUGCAUCCAAAACGAUCUUAGUACUGAGGUGGU